rnacentral:tRNA from 1 species
GGAGGGAUGGCUGAGUGAUCGAAAGCACCGGUCUUGAAAACCGGCAACCGUUAAUAGCGGUUCUAGGGUUCAAAUCCCUAUCCCUCCACCA